UUUUAGCCCCGAUAGUAGUGGAAAUCCUUUUCUUUUUUUCUUUAAAAAAGAAAAGAUUACUUCACAGCACUUCCAUUUUAAGCGGAGUUCAGUGAACUUCGUUUGCAACGGAUAGCGGGAAUAGCU
rnacentral:sRNA from 1 species